UACAGAGGUCUCAAGCGUUGUUCGGAUUCAUUGGGCGUAAAGGGUGCGUAGGUGGCGCGAUAAGUCGGGUGUGAAAUCUCGGAGCUUAACUCCGAAAUUGCAUUCGAUACUGCCGUGCUCGAGGACUGGAGAGGAGACUGGAAUUCAUGGUGUAGCAGUGAAAUGCGUAGAGAUCAUGAGGAAGACCAGUGGUGAAGGCGGGUCUCUGGACAGUUCCUGACACUGAGGCACGAAGGCCAGGGGAGCAAACGGG
rnacentral:rRNA from 1 species